CUGUUAAUGUAGCUACCGCUUAAGCAAUCCUUUAGCCGCUUAAGCGGCUACAUCAACAACUUUUCUAAGUUAGCAAAUUCGUUGAUCGAUCUCUCAGAAUUCAUUCAAAAUUCUGUGAACAUAACCAAACUAUGCUAAUAGGAUAUUUUGACGUUCUGGACUUAAUAGUGACAUCAAAUUUUUAAGAAAGGAUUAUUUU
rnacentral:lncRNA from 1 species